rnacentral:rRNA from 1 species
UACGAGGGGGGCAAGCGUUGUUCGGAAUUAUUGGGCGUAAAGGGUGCGUAGGCGGUUUGGUAAGUCUUAUGUGAAAUCUACAGGCUCAACUUGUAGUCUGCAUGAGAAACUGCCGGGCUUGAGUAUGGGAGAGGUGAGUGGAAUUCCUGGUGUAGCGGUGAAAUGCGUAGAUAUCAGGAAGAACACCCGUGGCUAAGGCGGCUCUCUAGUACGGUACUGACGCUGAGACGCGAAAGCGUGGGGAGCGAACAGG